UAAAAACAAUCUGCAAUCCUGCCAUAUUCUGUUAACUUUAAUUGUUUUUUCGUUUUCACUUUGUGUUGUUUCUCCAAAACUUGGAUUGAAAUUUCAGGCUCUUCUGCAAAAGAUGUAACAAAACAGCUGAAGGAUCAGCAGAUGGUGAUGAGAGGACAAACCUCAAUGGUUCAUGAACUGAACAGGUACAUUCCAACAGCUGCUUCCUUUGGUGGACUUUGCAUUGGUGGUUUAUCUCUGAUGGCGUACUUCCUCGGAGCCCAUCACUCUGGCCCCUGUAUCUUACUGGCUGUCACCAUCAUCUAUGAGUACUUUGAAAUCUUUGUGAAAGAACAAAUGGAGUAGGCAGCAUGGCGGCAUUACUCUUCUAAAAACAAUCUGCAAUCCUGCCAUAUUCUGUUAACUUUAAUUGUUUUUUCUGUUUUCACUUUGUGUUGUUUCUUUUUUUUACAUUCAUGAACUGUAUCUGCUCGUGAUUGGAGUGGAGGGCUUGAAGACUUGUUUUUGAUGAUGUACCACAUUGAUAUCUAUUCAAAUUGUAUAAUUUUUCAAAUUAAAAUCUUUGAGGGUUAGUUAAUAUUAAACAAAUAUAGAUUCCUGUGAUGGAC